rnacentral:rRNA from 1 species
AAGAAUGAGCCUGCGAGUCAGCGGCAUGUCGCGAGGUUAACCCGUGUGGGGUAGCCGUAGGGAAACCGAAUCCUAAUGGGGUGUUUAGUGGCAUGUCCUGGACCCGAAGCGGGGUGAUCUACCCAUGGCCAGUGUGAAGCAGCAGUAAGGUGCUGUGGAGGCGCGAACCCACGUAGGUUGAAAACUGCGGGGAUGAGCUGUGGGUAGGGGUGAAAGGCCAAUCAAACUCCGUGAUAGCUGGUUCUCCCCGAAAUGCAUUUAGGUGCAGCGUCGCAUUAGCUUGGUGGAGGUAGAGCUACUGGUUGGUUGAGCGGGACUACAAUCUUAGCAAUGUCAGCCAAACUCCGAAUGCCAUUAAUGUGUUGUGCGGCAGUGAGACUGUGGGGGAUAAGCUUCAUAGUCGAGAGGGAAACAGCCCAGAUCGCCGGUUAAGGCCCCUAAGGGUGUGCUAAGUGGAAAAGGAUGUGGGAUCGCGAAGACAGCCAGGAGGUUGGCUUAGAAGCAGCCAUCCUUGAAAGAGUGCGUAAUAGCUCACUGGUCGAGUGGUUCUGCGCCGACAAUGUAGUGGGGCUCAAGCACACCGCCGAAGCCGCGGCAAUAAUAUUUUGUUAUUGGGUAGGGGAGCGUCGUGCACGUGUUGAAGCGUUACCGUGAGGAGGCGUGGAGUGUGUGCGAGUGAGAAUGCAGGCAUGAGUAACGAAUUGGAAGGUGAGAAUCCUUCCCGCCGGAUGACUAAGGGUUCCUGGGUCAAGUUCGUCUUCCCAGGGUGAGUCGGGACCUAAGGCGAGGCCGACAGGCGUAGUCGAUGGACAACCAGUUGAUAUUCUGGUACCCGAGUAUAUGCGCCCCUGAUAAAGCACUGAUACUAACCACCGUAAGCUGUUGUGAUUGACCCUUUGGGGUUAACAUGGUGGCAAGCCGUGGGGCCUGAUGUGUGGUUCAAGCGAUGGGGUGACACAGUGGGGUAGCCAUGCCGCUUAGUGGAUUGUUGGUGUAAGCGUGUAGGUGAUGGUGUAGGUAAAUCCGCACUUGUUAUGCUGAGACGUGAUGCGUAGCCUUAAUUGGUGAAGUUGGUGAUCCCGUGCUGUCGAGAAAAGCCUCUAGCGAUGUAUAUACUCGGCCCGUACCCCAAACCGACACAGGUAGUCAGGUUGAAAAUACUAAGGCGUUCGGGUGAACUGUGGUUAAGGAACUCGGCAAAAUGCCCCCGUAACUUCGGGAGAAGGGGGACCCUAUGGCGUGAACACCCAUUUGCGGUGGGAAGCGUUGUGGGGUCGCAGAGAAUAGAGGGAAGCGACUGUUUAUCAAAAACACAGGUCCAUGCGAAGACGUUAAGUUGAUGUAUAUGGACUGACGCCUGCCCGGUGCUGGAAGGUUAAGAGGACCGGUUAAUCAAGCU